rnacentral:rRNA from 1 species
UGUAGUCAUAUGCUUGUCUCAAAGAUUAAGCCAUGCAUGUCUAAGUAUAAGCAAUUAUACCGCGAAACUGCGAAUGGCUCAUUAAAUCAGUUAUCGUUUAUUUGAUAGUACCUUACUACAUGGAUAACCGUGGUAAUUCUAGAGCUAAUACAUGCUAAAAAUCCCGACUUCGGAAGGGAUGUAUUUAUUAGAUUAAAAACCAAUGCCCUUCGGGGCUCUCUGGUGAUUCAUAAUAACUUCUCGAAUCGCACGGCCUUGCGCCGGCGAUGGUUCAUUCAAAUUUCUGCCCUAUCAACUUUCGACGGCUGGGUCUUGGCCAGCCAUGGUGACAACGGGUAACGGAGGGUUAGGGCUCGACCCCGGAGAAGGAGCCUGAGAAACGGCUACUACAUCCAAGGAAGGCAGCAGGCGCGCAAAUUACCCAAUCCCGACUCGGGGAGGUAGUGACAAUAAAUACUGAUACAGGGCUCUUUUGGGUCUUGUAAUUGGAAUGAGUACAAUUUAAAUCCCUUAACGAGGAACAAUUGGAGGGCAAGUCUGGUAAUCGAAUUCCCCGCGGCCGCC